AGUGAACGCUGGCGGUAGGCCUAACACAUGCAAGUCGAACGGUAGCACAGUAAGAGCUUGCUCUUACGGGUGGCGAGUGGCGGACGGGUGAGGAAUACAUCGGAAUCUACUUUUUCGUGGGGGAUAACGUAGGGAAACUUACGCUAAUGCCGCAUACGACCUACGGGUGAAAGCAGGGGAUCUUCGGACCUUGCGCGAUUGAAUGAGCCGAUGUCGGAUUAGCUAGUUGGCGGGGUAAAGGCCCACCAAGGCGACGAUCCGUAGCUGGUCUGAGAGGAUGAUCAGCCACACUGGAACUGAGACACGGUCCAGACUCCUACGGGAGGCAGCAGUGGGGAAUAUUGGACAAUGGGCGCAAGCCUGAUCCAGCCAUACCGCGUGGGUGAAGAAGGCCUUCGGGUUGUAAAGCCCUUUUGUUGGGAAAGAAAAGCAGCAGGUUAAUACCCCGCUGUUCUGACGGUACCCAAAGAAUAAGCACCGGCUAACUUCGUG
rnacentral:rRNA from 1 species